UUUUCUCGGUUAUACACUAAUGAGCUAGCGUUAGCUUAAACAUGUAGGUAACCGUUAGCUCUGAGAGCACGGAGGAAAUGCGCUUCAAUGCGGGGAAGUGUAAGUUGCAGCUGCUCUGUAGGCAACAGAGACCACACCUCAUGACCACAUGUUGGCUAAAAACUAAAUGGAUAAGAUAAUAUUGGUUUGCCUGCCGUGCCAAAAUUCAGUAAUGAUAAAUGAACAAUACUUAUUUUUCAUAAAAUAAAUGUACCAAUCCUGAAUUGUAUUUUUUUUGCAGUUUUUCUAUCUGAUGUUGGUGUGAUGUGGAACUCUUUGGGGACCUCAUAUUGUUUUGGGCAGUAAUCGCUGACAGCAAAGUCAAUCUGCCACUGAUCAUAUGUAGGCACUCAACAACUUUUGUGCAAACGGUUUUGGUCGUCUGAGGUCGAUGAGAUACAUGCUAAGUUCCAACGCGUUACCACCAUCCCACUGGAAUCUACCUUCAUGGCACAGUUGGACAGCCAUUUAGCCCAAUUGACGUAUAUCUUCCAGACGAAGGGAGGAGUUGCUGGCCAGAAACUAGCUAAACAUCUGGAGAUCUUGCAAGAAGAGACAAAUUAUGUCAAUCCUAAAAGGACAGCUGUCCUAAAGGCUCUUUGCAUCUACCUGGGGGAGGACGAGGGACAGCUUGUUCUGGAGUAUAUGGCCCAGAACACAACUACUAAGAGGUCUGGCUCCUGUGCAGUGAACCCCGACCAUUCCACCGGCUCCGGAACCUGAUCCGGCCCGCUUCAGGUCCCGUCUACUCUGCUGAGGAGCUCAAGAGGAUGCUGGGAAAUCUAGUCAGCCACCGCCGAUGUCACGGGAUUGGUGAGCUGCAGACAAAGAGGACAAAAGAAUCCCCCCACAGCACCGCCUACAUUCCUCCCAGAUGACCUUUGACUCCUCUGACUCCCCCAAUGAGGGAUCAUAGAGGGGGCUUGGGAGUAUGCUCAUCCAGUCUACAUUUUGUGGACUUGGAGAAGGCGUAUGACCGGGUCCCCCGAGAGAAACUGUGGGAGGUGCUGCGGGAGUACGGGGUGAGGGGGUCCUUGCUUGGGGCCAUCCAAUCCUUGUACGCCCAAAGCGAGAACUGUGUUCGGGCGCUCGGCAGUACGUCGGAGGCGUUUCCGGUGGGGGUAGGCCUUCGCCAGGGCUGCGCCUUGUCACCUCCUAGGGAGACGGCGCUCCGCUGCUGCAGUACCGACAGUGGCCACGGUGGCGCCGUUUCACCACAAGUGGGAAAAGUCCAUGAUAGCCGUAGAAAACCCCAAAGACACUGGAACUGUGUUCGGGUGCUCGGCCGUACGUCGGAGGCGUUUCCGGUGGGGGUUGGCCUUCGCCAGGGCUGCGCCUUG